AUCAGCCACAUCUGCAUUCAUGUCACCUACUGACCAUCCCAUCUCCUUAAGUCAUGGUGGCUGAUAAGAAGAGAAAGCUUAAGUUAAAAUGUUAAGGAAGGAUCCCUUCAAGUGUCAAGUUUGUACCCCAGAUGUGCUUUCAGUUUCAGUGGAUGGAAAUUGCAAGUAUUACCAUUUAAAGAAUGCAACAAGGUAUUGUAAAAUGUGUACAAUAUAACAAUUCUUUCUAUAUGUUAGUGAUGUUCACUACCUUUGGACUUUAACACCUCAUGAAGUGUAUUUUAUUGCUUGUUUUUCAGAUUGGAGGAACAGGCUAUAUUUCAGGACCUUUUCAUAGCCAAGGAUGAAAACAUAGGAAAAUUUGUGGACUGUAUACACAAAUCAACCAAAAAUAUUUUGUGGUGGGCAAUGGUCAGCAGCCAGGGAGAUCUCUCACAGAUCCAGCAGCAAACUGGAUGAGGAGGCUUGGAACUAGCGGCUGGCCAACAGACAAUCACUUUUUUUCCAUGGAUGUAACAUUUGUGGACAUAACUCAAAAACUAACAAAAAGCUGUCCUGAACUCCAACACCUGCUUAAAAU